rnacentral:tRNA from 1 species
GGUGAGAUGGCCGAGUGGCUAAAGGCACUCCCCUGCUAAGGGAGUAUGUAAUGAAAAUUGCAUCCGGGGUUCGAAUCCCCGUCUCACCGCCA